rnacentral:rRNA from 1 species
GACGAACGCUGGCGGCGUGCUUAACACAUGCAAGUCGAACGAGGUCCACCGCGUAGCAAUACAAGGGAAGACCUAGUGGCGAACGGGUGCGUAACACGUGAGAAACCUGUCCUGGUCUCUGGGAUAACAGUUGGAAACGACUGCUAAUACCGGAUGCCGUCGGAGCGUCGCAUGGCGCGCUGACGAAAGGGUUACUGGAUCAGGAGGGUCUCGCGGCCUAUCAGCUUGUUGGUGGGGUAACGGCCUACCAAGGCAUCGACGGGUAGCUGGUCUGAGAGGAUGAUCAGCCACACUGGGACUGAGACACGGCCCAGACUCCUACGGGAGGCAGCAGUGGGGAAUCUUGCGCAAUGGGCGAAAGCCUGACGCAGCAACGCCGCGUGCGGGAAGAAGGCUCUCGGGUUGUAAACCGCUUUCAGAAGGAACGAAACUGACGGUACUUUCAGAAGAAGGUGCGGCCAACUACGUG